UAACAAGGUUUCCGUAGGUGAACCUGCGGAAGGAUCAUUAAUGAGCGAGGGGCCUCGUGCUCCCGGGGGCUUCGGCCCCCACUCCUCACCCUUUGUAUACAUACCUUUGUUGCUUUGGCGGGCCUUGGGGACCUCCCCAUGCCGGCUCCGGGCUUCGGUCCCGCCGGCGAGCCGCCCGCCCGAGGCCUAUCAAAUUCCGUUUUAUCAGUGUUGUCCGAGUCAGAUAUAACAAUCAAAACUUUCAACAACGGAUCUCUUGGUUCUGGCAUCGAUGAAGAACGCAGCGAAAUGCGAUAAGUAAUGUGAAUUGCAGAAUUCAGUGAAUCAUCGAAUCUUUGAACGCACAUUGCGCCCCUCGGUAUUCCGGGGGGCAUGCCUGUUCGAGCGUCAUUGCACCCCUCAAGCGUAGCUUGGUGUUGGGCCAUCGCCCCCGCGGCGUGCCCGAAAAGCAGUGGCGGUCCGGUGCGACUUCAAGCGUAGUAAUUAUCAUCCCGCUUUGGAAGCCUCGCCCCGUGGCCUGCCAGACAACCCCCCAUAUACUUCAAUGAUUGACCUCGGAUCAGGUAGGGAUACCCGCUGAACUUAAGCAUAUCA
rnacentral:rRNA from 1 species